UCUAAGUAGCGCAGGACCGAUCGUUGUG
rnacentral:sRNA from 1 species